rnacentral:lncRNA from 1 species
GGAGGAAAGCUUUAGCGUUUUCUGCUGUAGUCAGGUUCAGCCUAUGGCUUGAGCAUGCUUUUGACCUACUGUAGCCUAGGAUUUUCAGGUGGUAAUAUGCUGCAUGCGGACAUGGGUCCGAUCGGUUGCCAGGAAAAUCGUUCGAACUGAUUUUGUACAAAAUGCAUAAAAAGUAACUUUGUACGUGUACUGCAUAAUUCACUUGCAACAAACAUGUAACUGUAAAAUAAAAUUUUAUAAAUUUCAUAUAUGAUAUAAUAUGGAUCUUAUAUAUAUAUAUAUUUUUUGUCAAAUCUUCGCCAUAAACUUUCAGAAAUGAUUGUUCCUGCCCCUCCUCCGCUGCAUGCUACAGUCAGAGGAAUGAAGUCACCAUGGACAUGUGUCAUGGUGACUUGUUCGGCCAUUUCCCGAACAAGGGAAAAGGGUAGUAUUAAGUUUGGUCCCAAACUUACAGGAUAAGUUUGAGGCGUGAAUUCAACAUUUCUAGAGCUCCGCCCAGGGUAAACUGGUAAUCUGAUAAUCUUGUAAUCAUCUUAUGGAAUGGAUAUCGUGAAACAAAGGGAUAAACCUAUUCUCCCUAGCGCUUAUUGGGUAAGGCCCUAUAAAUAAAUAAGGAAUCAUAUCAUGAAAGAUAUGCACACACUUAAAAAUAAUUUUUAUUCCUACCCAGAGGUGCUCUCGGCUCCUUUCACUGUACUUUUAUCAGCAGUUUUUCCCUGCCUUGUCAAAGAGAGAGAGGCAUUUGAGUUUUAAAUGUAAAUCACGAAUGAGUAAUGACAUUAAUGAAAAGAACGGAGGUUUAAAUCCUCCACUUAGCUAAAAUCUGCUGCAUGUUCUUUAAUUUUUGAUUAGAAGGUUCACUUGAAUGGAAGAAACUUGACUCAUCAAUUUGCUUCAGUCAUAUGAAUUUUCGUGGAUGAGGGAUCUUUGCCUAAACAAUUUCUUGCAAUCAGCCUCACUUCUUGCCUGCUAAAUUAUCUGGAGGAAUCUAUCGAGCAAAAGCCCCAAAUUUAAAUGGCCAGCGUUGUUAAGAUUCAGGAGAGCAAAAGGCAAAAACACCAUUACGAUUUACGAUAAAAAAAAAAAAAAAAAAAAAAAGACCACAUGAUUGUAAUUUGAAAAAGGUGAUGCCAACAUGGCAUAUUUUUCCAUGCGAAAUACACGCUUCUAAACAUUUAAUGCACACCCGUGCACGGGUCCGACACUCACUAAGGUUUUGUUUGAGUGAGGGCAAAAGGGAUCACUUGGGAUCAUCCGUGACAUAUUUUCUAUGCCAAUUCAAUGUCAUCUAUAGUAUUAUGCCAAGUGUUCUGUUAUUAUUUACAUUUUAAUUUUCAAAUAAUUCAACUUGGUUUGGUUUAACACAAGUGUAAAUAAUAAUAGGACACUUGGCGCAAUACUAUAGGUGGCAUUGAAUUCUCAAGUGAAAAGGGAUAGCACAGAAAAUUUCUACAAGUUCAUUAUUGGAAUUUCUUGUUUUGAAUUAUGAAGAGAUUAUGAUCAGGUAAUUAGCUCUUGCUGAGCUGAUAUUUCAUGCACUCCAAUUUGAUAUCAUUGCUUGAACAACAACAGAGUAAACGAAAAGUGAGUAGCUGGUAAAUAGUCCUGCCCUGCCCUUCAAAUAUAUUUGGUUUAGCUGGGUGUUAGCUUACCCCACCCCCCCCCCCCACCCCAAAAAAAUUUCAAUCUUGCAAAAUUUAUAUCUCGAGAAUUCUUGUCUUCAAUCUAGUUUCUUGUAUAUCUUUUUCUAUUCAGAAAAAAUACAUACACAACGAUGUUUUACUUUCCUUUUGUCGUAACAAAUCUGCAUUUUCUAAACUUUUUUUCCUAAUGCUACAAUAAAAUUUCAGCUAAUCAUAUAACUCAAAUAACCAUUCACUAAAUGCUGCUUUCUUUGUACUUUCUUUCUAUUCCCCCCCCCACCUCCCCCAACUCAAAAUAAAAUAAAAAAAAAAAAACUCUUUUCCUGAAGAACAUCGCACAUAAUUUUUCUGCUACUCAAACAUGCUUGCAAUUUUUCUUUUAGUUGAGAAAUUGAAGGAGAAUAAAAAGAACAGAGACAAUAGGAUCCAGCCUUUUUAUCACGUGGGAGUUAAACGGAGGGAACUCUCCGUCACACAAACCUUAUAUUCAUUGAAGGUUGAACCAAAAGAAAAAAAUGGUAAUGAAACAUUAAUCCAAUUUUUUCUUUUUUGGGGAAGUUCUCUUUUUCUAUAGUAACUACCAAACUAGGCCUUAAUCUUCGUAGUGUACAACCUCGUACUGUAGAAUGCUAGGGCAGGUAUAUAAGUUCACAAUCUCUACCCUCAGCUCAGUGUUCUAAGCUCCCAAAAUAAAUCCACUUAGCUGCAAGCCAGCAACCAUCCAUCUGCUUCAAAUCCUACAAUAAGCUAAUAUGUCCACCAUUUCGAUGGUCAUGGUAAUCUUACUGUCCAUGGUAAAUGAUGACCUCGAAUAUUAUCACAUUUCUCAUCCUCCAUCGUCAAUGUUUAUGGAAGACAAGGAACAAGGGUACUGCCGUUCUCCAGCUGCACCUGCUGAUGGAGACGGAGAUGACGACGACGAUGACGGUGAUGGAGGAUAUGAUUAUGCUCCAGCUGCUUGAAGUUUUCAUCGGGGCUUUACCAAUACCCUAGUUUUUAUACCAUCAGCCAAACCCUAGUUCUUGAAUACUAAAUCCCAUAUUUUAUUUAAACCCUAAAAUUUUAAGACCGCUAAUAGAGUGUAUCUAUCCCCUUGUACAAGGUUAUCCAAGAAUGUCUUUCACUUAGUUGAAAUAAGGAGAAUAUGUAUGUAGUGCUUUCUAAGGAAGAAAUCCUGCAGUUGAUCGUUAUAUACAGCCCUAAUUUCUUGGCUUUGCAUCUAUUAAAUCAGUACGCUGUGAAAGUUUGAGGUACUAGUGAAUGACUCGUUUCUUGCUAGUCACUUUUUAUACCCUAAGGAUUAUAAACUCCAACGGUUUGUGAAUCCAUACAUGUUCAUGUUUUAUCUUUUCUUUUUUCUUUUUUUCUUUUUUGGGGUCCUGGUAGGCCAUGUUCAUGUUCAUGUUAUCAAAAAGGCCUCCAAAAUAUUAAUUAGGAAUUAUAGUUCCAUUGCAAUUUCCAUGGUCAAAAUUAUGUAAUUACUGGGGCUUAUACGUACAAAAACAAUCCUGGAAUGGCCUCCAUAUCUCAAUCAUGGUCUGAUUUAGAGGGUGAAUGAGCAUUUCUGACAAAAGGUUAAUCGUUUUUGGUAAAGGAAAUGGAGUAGGGUUUGGAACUUUUCCAGUUCUGACUGAGCAUUUUGUCACGCAAAAGCACGAUAUAAUGCAUAAUGGAGCUCCAUCAUCUCAAUAUUUCUUACACCAAGAUGAAAAGGGCUAAUCAAGCCAUUGAAGUUUCGUACUCAUAAUUUGAAUUAUCUAUAUCUUUUUCAUACAUUUGAUUACUUUUAUGUUGGAUAUAUAUCUAAUUACUAAUUGUUACAGGAAGUAUAAGUUUUAGAUGGUUCCGUUUCUCAUGGAUUUAUAUAUCCAAACAGUGUUCAGUUUGGAGAAAAUCUAUCUCAAAUUGUCUCUUCGAGACUCCAAAAGAUUGGUUUGGGGGAUCUAGUGGCAUCUUAUUCACUUGAGAGCCGCCCUAUAUAUCCAAAAAUGGUCCCAUGCUUAUUAGUUAAAAGAUUAAUCUCGUAUACAUUCUCAAUAUAUGCACUAUCACCAUUAGAUAUAUGUCACAUGUGUAAAAUUUGAAUUUAGAAUCUAAAAUUUGCUCAUGUGUCAUCCAUCCAAUUGUGAUAGUGUAUAUAUUGACAAUGUAUAUAAAAUUUAUUCUAAGUUAAAAUCUAUUUCCCAUCGUUACUUUCAAGAAAAUUGUUGGGUAAAUUACAUGUAAUUCCUUCGUAGUUUCAUCUGUUGUCACGUGAUCCCUUUAACGUUUCAAAAGAUCCACUUCACUGCCCUAUGAUUUUAUGUAAAAUGAAAAUUUGACGAAAAAUAAUUAUGUACCAUCGGUAGUUAAAAUAUCAAUAGUAUCUUUACUUAAAUGCAAAAUUAAUAAAUGGUUUAACCAUCAUGUAUGCAAGUAUAAGGAAAUUACAUGAAUAAAUUCAAAAAUCAUAAGAAUUAAAGUGAAUAUUUAUACAAAUUAUAAGGGAGUACAUGGAUAUUAAGAUUUUAUCACAUGUGCUUUAAAGCCCGUUUGGUGUCCAUUUUCUAGUUUACAUAGAACCACACGGGAAUUAUGUGGCUAUUUUAACUUUAUGGGGGUUAUCUGGCAUUUUGUAAAAUCACAGGGGGGUAAUAAGUAUUUUACCCAAAAUUGUUUGCCCUAGACGUCGUGCUUCAAUUAAAUUUUAUAACUUACGCAUUUUCUUAAAAGUGAUCCUCGAAUGAACUAAUAUGGCAAAAUUUUCCACUUAAGGUUGAAUGGUUGCUAGAAUGGAAGCUCCAGCCCGGACCUUUCGUUUUAGAAUUGCAAUGACCCUAGGAACUUUUUUAUAGGUAUGUCUAACAAGAGUUCUACUUAAAAAAACCUUGCCAUUAAAGGCUUGGUGAGGUGGGAGACAAGGGUUCAGACGCUUGGUGUAGUGCACAUUAAGUUGCCUCUCACCAACUGCCACAUUAAGUAGCUUCUUAAAAAAUUCAACAAGUGUGUAGUGCACUCGUCUGGUCCGAUAGUGAUUCAGUUUCCAUCGAUCCCCCUAAACCCAGUUGGUCUGCCCCUUAUAUUAGGAUAGUGUAGGAUACUAUAGAUAAAAAAAAUGACGAUUGACAAAAAAAAAAAAAAAAGCAUUCUACUUGCAGGAAUAGGAAUACGAAUAAUUUCGAAUACCUUCUCCUGAAGUUUCUGACAAUUUUACUGACCUCCUUUGAUAUUUGAAAAAUUACACGUAUCUCCCUUGAUUUGAUAGUUUUAUUAACAAAAUUUUAAAAUAAUAUUGAGUUGGUCAAAUUUUUAAAUGAAUAUCCAAAAAUGCUCUUGUGUAAUGAGUUUUAAUUUACUUUUCCAUACAAUUAUAAAAUUAUCUAGUAUAAUUAUAAGAAAAGGUGCCAAAAUUUUCAUGUCUAUACUUACUAUUUAAUAAAUAACUAUAAUAAUAAUUUUAUCACUAUGGUAGAAUAUUUUUUAUGGUAUUUUAUUUUGAAUUUAAAUUUAUAAGUUGAAAAGAAAAUGUUGAAAUAAUUCAUUUAGAGUUUAGAAAUUUUUUGAGUUGUGGGAUUAUCAUAAUUUAGUAAUGAUUUUGGAUCAUUUCCUUUUGAUUUAUUGUUAAUUUUAAUACCAAAAAAUAGAAAAUAAAUAUCAGCAAAAACAUUGGAUUGCGUAUAAAGUUAAUUUAUCAAAAAAAUCACUAGUUUGAUAUUUGAUUACAAUAGAAACUAUAGGUAAUAGUGAUAGUUCUACAGUUUUAUUGGCAAAAAAUUCAAAAAAAAAAAAGGAAUAAGAAGGAAAAGAAUAAAAUUUUUUUUAAAAGUCAUUCUAAGUAUAAACAUACAAAAUAAGGGAAUUUUAUUAAAAUAUUUAAGGAUAGUACUAUCAUUUUAAAUAACAAGUGAGGUAUAUAUAAUUUUUAAAAUCUCAAGAAGCUAAAUGAAAUUAUUAAAAACCUCAAGGGAGGUUUUUGAAAUUAUCCCAUAGGAAUAUGAAUGUCGACAUUUUUUGAAAUUUGAAUGCUCAAAAUGUGGCCAUGACUCUUGAGUCCAUUCCCCAUGCUCCACGGUAGCAGCUCGACCACAUGCCUGAUUUCACAUCAUAUGAUUGUGCUUCCGGAGUCUCUCCACUUCCAGCAACCAAAGUAGUCCCCGUCUCAUUGAAUGGUUGAUUGAAUGGUUCAAGAUAUUUAUCACGUCAGAAAAGUCAAAGCAAAUUUUAGUUUAUCUUUUCAAUAUAAUUCUUCUUUCUAAUCGUAUGCAUCUAAUCAUUCAAAUUUAAAAUUUGAAUUUAUAGGGAUAAAAUUGAAAAAAGAAAUACAAACAUCACAAUUAAAUCACUAUAUUUAAGAAAGUUGAAUUUCCGAAACAUAAUUAAAUAAUUGGAACAGAGGGAGUAGUAGGUUUGUAGCACAUGAAUGAUGAAACCGCAGUGCAAAAAUUUGGAGCAAUGCAAAAAUAACUCUCUUAAGGGGUAUGUUGGUCGUUGAAUUGUAUGAGAGGUGAUUAUGGAUCAGAGAACAAAUCAAGGAUAUAAAGCUUCUGAGAAUAUUCGAUCAAUGGAUGUUUAGCUUGGCUUUGUGUGCACAUGCGAUGCAUACGUGAACAGCAAUACCGUAAUCAAAUCAGGUCCGUUAAAAAUGUGCUAGCUUUUUCAAUCUUGCUUGCUCUUUUAUCUUCAUUAGGCCUAUAUUUAUAAAUACUAGUGGGGAAUCGCACAUACUGUGUGUGUGCACAUCAAACAAAUAUUUUUAAAGCAAGGAAAAAAAGGGAUAAUUUUUUUUUUGGAGAUUAUUCAAAAUUUUUUGGUGAUUAAAACGUGAGUAUAUUAUGUUGAAUUUUGAAAGGAUACACUUCAAAUAAAAAAUAAUAAUGAUGUAAUUUUUUAACAUCAAACUCGUGAGCCAUCCAUUAUACAUGGAGUGAUAUAUAGAAUUCAGCCUCAAACAUAAUAAGUGUACAGUGUUGAUGCCGUUUCAAGAACCGACCGACCAGAUUGUGUGAUGUGGCAGUUUUAAUUGUUUACUCCCCUUUUUUAUUAAAAAAAUAAAAAUAAAAAAAAAUAAAGUCCCGGUAGCGUCAAGCCCUCGUCCGGUCAUGCCCUUGUGGCCCAACGACAUGGUGGACGUCACCGGUCUUGUCUUCCCGUACUGGAUUUUGUCCGAUGAAUCGAUAUUUUAACCAUAAAAUUGUACUUGCGUCUCCGGGUAACUAUUUUGCCCCAAAAAGAAUGGAGUAUUACCGUAUAUGGAAACAAGACAGUGUGAUGCAUGAUAGAUACUCUAAUAAACAGUUUCCUGGAUUAUGAUCUGCUGAUCAUAUGAUUUGUCUGUCAAAAUUUAAGUUGACCAAAAAAAUUCUUCCCGUGUCCGCACCGGAGAGUAGUUCCUGCGUACCAAUCCCCGUUUAUUUUACUCCAGAGCCACACUAAACAUAAAGAUGAACAUUGAAUGUUAGGAGGAAAGAUUGUAAGUAAACCUUUAAGACCUCGACAUUUAUUUGAUUUUUUUUUUUUUUAAAAAAAAGCAAGUAGUAGAAGGACGGUUAACAUUUUGUUGAGUGAUGAAUAAAUUUGAUGGCACGGAAGAAGUAAUUCAAAGAGAGAUGUCUCGAGUUUCAACACUUUCACUUAUAUUUAAAAAAGUUUUUUUUUAAAAAAAAAAAACGGAUAUUACUGACGUGUCAUAUGAGAUCUCCGACGUGGUUAAGGGACCAGUGGCACACACGUAAUCGGCGUCGGGAUGUUGUCAUAAUCCCCGUGCCAGCCCUGCGCUGCACCACGCCUCCCCUGCUUCCGAUCCACUUCUAUAGUGUUAUAUACUCCCCUGCUACCCAGUCUUCCUUUACACCAAGUCCAGUCUAACAAAAAAAAAGAAAAAAGAAAAAACUCCUCCAAUACGUAGUCCUCGUACUUCGCUUACCAGAAGUAUAUUUAAAUUUUCCUUUUCCAUUUUUGUCUCCUCGGUGAAGUUUGAGUUGAUCCGACUACCCGACAAGAGAAAAAAAAAUAAAUGUCGAUUGCUUUUAGGAACAUCAUUAUUGAGUCGUCAUGGUACGAGAAGAAGAUGAGGAGGCAGCACGCAGAUGGAGAUGACGAUGAUGAUAAUGGCGGCUAUGAUUAUGCCCCAGCCGCAUGCGUUGAAGGCGAUGGCGACGACGAUGACGGAGAUUAUGACUAUGCUCCGGCUGCAUCCCUGGAGGAGGAGGGUGAUGACGACGAUGACGAUGACGAUGACGGUUAUCAUUGUGCUCCAGCUGCAUGAACUUCAUUUACUUCACCCAAAAUUUCAUACUUGCACCUGGGAAUCUUUUCGCAUGUUCUUUUUUUUUUUUUUAAUCAUAUCGAACCUUCCAAGUUACAACUCAAUUAGUAUUGAUUAAUUGUAGUAUUCCUCGUUUCUGAUAUUUUAGCCUCAGAACCCUAAUGGUGAAAUCUAUUAACUUCCUUUUCCGGAUUUUUACAGUUUCUGGUUCUGCUGCUCUUUUUGGUUUGUUUAAUUGUACUGCUAACGUUACGUGGGUUGCAGUACUGUUCAGUCAGAGUGAUAAUUUAAAUAAAGUCACAAUAUUAUAUAAUUUAUUUGUGACAGUAUAAUACGACCAUCAGCAUGAAUAAAUUUUGCAACUGACGUGUUUUAAAUUUCUUUUCAAACGACAAAGCAUAACUUUGGGGUCGCGGGGCUCAUAAAAGAGGCCCGGUUAUAGAGAAAGAGGGGCAGAGGAGGAGGGAGGGACUAGGGAGGGAGGGAGGGAGAACAGAAAAAA